GACGAACGCUGGCGGCGUGCUUAACACAUGCAAGUCGAACGGAAAGGCCCUGCUUUUGUUGGGUGCUCGAGUGGCGAACGGGUUAGUAACACGUGAGUAACCUGCCCUUGACUUUGUUAUAACUUCAGGAAACUGGGGCUAAUACCGGAUAGGAUCUCCUGCUGCAUGGUGGGGUUUGGAAAGUUUCGGCGGUUGGGGAUGGACUCGCGGCUUAUCAGCUUGUUGGUGGGGUAGUGGCUUACCAAGGCUUUGACGGGUAGCCGGCCUGAGAGGGUGACCGGCGAAAUUGGGACUGAGAUACGGCACAGACUCAGAAGGGAGGCAGCAGUGGGGAAUAUUGCACAAUGGGCGGAAGCAUGAUGCAGAAACGCAGCGUGCGGGAUGACGGGCUUCGGGUGGUAAAACGCUGUCGCCUGUGACGAAGAGUGAGUGACGGUAAUGGGUAAAGAAGCACCGGCUAAGUACGUG
rnacentral:rRNA from 1 species